rnacentral:rRNA from 1 species
AUUGAACGCUGGCGGCAUGCCUUACACACGCAAGUCGAACGGCAGCACGGGAGCAAUCCUGGUGGCGAGUGGCGAACGGGUGAGUAAUAUAUCGGAACGUGCCCAGUAGUGGGGGAUAACUGCUCGAAAGAGCAGCUAAUACCGCAUACGACCUGAGGGUGAAAGGGGGGGAUCGCAAGACCUCCCGCUAUUGGAGCGGCCGAUAUCAGAUUAGCUAGUUGGUGGGGUAAAGGCCUACCAAGGCAACGAUCUGUAGUUGGUCUGAGAGGACGACCAGCCACACUGGGACUGAGACACGGCCCAGACUCCUACGGGAGGCAGCAGUGGGGAAUUUUGGACAAUGGGCGCAAGCCUGAUCCAGCAAUGCCGCGUGCAGGAAGAAGGCCUUCGGGUUGUAAACUGCUUUUGUCAGGGAAGAAAUCCUCUAGGUUAAUACCCUUGGGGGGAUGACGGUACCUGAAGAAUAAGCACCGGCUAACUACGUGCCAGCCGCCGCCGUAAGAC